UACGUAGGGUGCAAGCGUUAAUCGGAAUUACUGGGCGUAAAGCGUGCGCAGGCGGUUUUGUAAGUCUGAUGUGAAAGCCCCGGGCUCAACCUGGGAAUUGCGUUGGAGACUGCAAGGCUUGAAUCUGGCAGAGGGGGGUAGAAUUCCACGUGUAGCAGUGAAAUGCGUAGAGAUGUGGAGGAACACCGAUGGCGAAGGCAGCCCCCUGGGUUAAUAUUGACGCUCAUGCACGAAAGCGUGGGGAGCAAACAGG
rnacentral:rRNA from 1 species